rnacentral:rRNA from 1 species
UAAGAAUUUAAAAGUCGAACAGACUUACCUUUAAGAAUGCUGCUUCUUAUAGUAUUCUUAAUUCAACAUCGAGGUCGCAAAAUAUAAUAUAGAUGUGAACUCCCCAUUAAAAUUACGCUGUUAUCCCUAAGGUAACUUAAUCUUAUAGUCCCUCCUAUUUAAGGAUCUUAAAUUUCAUAAAUAAAUGAUUUAAAAAACUAAAGUUUAAAUUUAAUUACCACCCCAGCAAAAAAUAAAGUUAUAAAAUAAAAUAAUACUAAUUAAAUUAAAUAAUAUAAAUUUAUAUAAAGUUCUAUAGGGUCUUAUCGUCCCAAUAAUAAACUAAAGCAUUUUAACUUUAAAUUUAAAUUCUAAUUUUUAAAGAAAUAAAAUAUAUUUCUCAUAAAUCCAUUCAUACAAGCUCCCAAUUAAGAAACUAAUUACUAUGCUACCUUUGCACAGUCAAAAUACUGCAGCCAUUUAGUUAAAACCAUAGGGCAGAAGAUACUUUUUAUAUAACCA